rnacentral:rRNA from 1 species
UCUGGUGGUUCUUUCCAAAGGGUCACACCCGUUCCCAUUCCGAACACGGCCGUUAAGCCUUUGUGAGCCGAUGGUAGUCAAGGUUGGCGAGAGUAGGUUGCCGCCAGAA